rnacentral:rRNA from 1 species
GACGAACGCUGGCGGCGUGCCUAAUACAUGCAAGUCGAACGCUGAAGGAGGAGCUUGCUUCUCUGGAUGAGUUGCGAACGGGUGAGUAACGCGUAGGUAACCUGCCUGGUAGCGGGGGAUAACUAUUGGAAACGAUAGCUAAUACCGCAUAAGAGUAGAUGUUGCAUGACAUUUGCUUAAAAGGUGCAAUUGCAUCACUACCAGAUGGACCUGCGUUGUAUUAGCUAGUUGGUGGGGUAACGGCUCACCAAGGCGACGAUACAUAGCCGACCUGAGAGGGUGAUCGGCCACACUGGGACUGAGACACGGCCCAGACUCCUACGGGAGGCAGCAGUAGGGAAUCUUCGGCAAUGGACGGAAGUCUGACCGAGCAACGCCGCGUGAGGGAAGAAGGGUUUCGGAUCGUAAAGCUCUGUUGUAAGAGAAGAACGAGUGUGAGAGUGGAAAGUUCACACUGUGACGGUAGCUUACCAGAAAGGGACGGCUAACUACGUG